rnacentral:rRNA from 1 species
UGGGGAAUAUUGCACAAUGGGCGCAAGCCUGAUGCAGCGACGCCGCGUGGGGGAUGACGGCCUUCGGGUUGUAAACUCCUUUCGCCCACGACGAAGCCCUUCGGGGUGACGGUAGUGGGAUAAGAAGCACCGGCUAACUACGUGCCAGCAGCCGCGGUAAUACGUAGGGUGCGAGCGUUGUCCGGAAUUACUGGGCGUAAAGAGCUCGUAGGUGGUUUGUCGCGUCGUCUGUGAAAGUCCAGCGCUUAACGCUGGGAUUGCAGGCGAUACGGGCUUACUUGAGUGCUGUAGGGGAGACUGGAAUUCCUGGUGUAGCGGUGAAAUGCGCAGAUAUCAGGAGGAACACCAAUGGCGAAGGCAGGUCUCUGGGCAGUCACUGACACUGAGGAGCGAAAGCAUGGGUAGCCAACAGGAUUAGAUACCCUGGUAGUCCAUGCCGUAAACGGUGGGCGCUAGGUGUGGGGACCUUCCACGGUUCCUGCGCCGUAGCUAACGCAUUAAGCGCCCCGCCUGGGGAGUACGGCCGCAAGGCUAAAACUCAAAGGAAUUGACGGGGGCCCGCACAAGCGGCGGAGCAUGCGGAUUAAUUCGAAGC